rnacentral:rRNA from 1 species
AACGAACGCUGGCGGCAUGCCUAACACAUGCAAGUCGAACGAAGGCUUCGGCCUUAGUGGCGCACGGGUGAGUAACACGUGGGAACCUGCCUUUCGGUUCGGGAUAACGUCUGGAAACGGACGCUAACACCGGAUACGCCCUAUGGGGGAAAGUUUACGCCGAGAGAGGGGCCCGCGUCCGAUUAGGUAGUUGGUGGGGUAAUGGCCCACCAAGCCGACGAUCGGUAGCUGGUCUGAGAGGAUGAUCAGCCACACUGGGACUGAGACACGGCCCAGACUCCUACGGGAGGCAGCAGUGGGGAAUAUUGGACAAUGGGGGCAACCCUGAUCCAGCAAUGCCGCGUGAGUGAUGAAGGCCUUAGGGUUGUAAAGCUCUUUCGCACGCGACGAUGAUGACGGUAGCGUGAGAAGAAGCCCCGGCUAACUUCGUGCCAGCCGCCGCCAGUAAUAC